UUAAGCGACUAAGCGUACACGGUGGAUGCCCUGGCAGUCAGAGGCGAUGAAGGACGUGCUAAUCUGCGAUAAGCGUCGGUAAGGUGAUAUGAACCGUUAUAACCGGCGAUUUCCGAAUGGGGAAACCCAGUGUGAUUCGUCACACUAUCAUUAACUGAAUCCAUAGGUUAAUGAGGCGAACCGGGGGAACUGAAACAUCUAAGUACCCCGAGGAAAAGAAAUCAACCGAGAUUCCCCCAGUAGCGGCGAGCGAACGGGGAGCAGCCCAGAGCCUGAAUCAGUGUGUGUGUUAGUGGAAGCGUCUGGAAAGGCGCGCGAUACAGGGUGACAGCCCCGUACACAAAAAUGCACAUGCUGUGAGCUCGAUGAGUAGGGCGGGACACGUGGUAUCCUGUCUGAAUAUGGGGGACCAUCCUCCAAGGCUAAAUACUCCUGACUGACCGAUAGUGAACCAGUACCGUGAGGGAAAGGCGAAAAGAACCCCGGCGAGGGGAGUGAAAAAGAACCUGAAACCGUGUACGUACAAGCAGUGGGAGCACAGAGCAAUCUGUGUGACUGCGUACCUUUUGUAUAAUGGGUCAGCGACUUAUAUUCUGUAGCAAGGUUAACCGAAUAGGGGAGCCGAAGGGAAACCGAGUCUUAACUGGGCGUUAAGUUGCAGGGUAUAGACCCGAAACCCGGUGAUCUAGCCAUGGGCAGGUUGAAGGUUGGGUAACACUAACUGGAGGACCGAACCGACUAAUGUUGAAAAAUUAGCGGAUGACUUGUGGCUGGGGGUGAAAGGCCAAUCAAACCGGGAGAUAGCUGGUUCUCCCCGAAAGCUAUUUAGGUAGCGCCUCGUGAAUUCAUCUCCGGGGGUAGAGCACUGUUUCGGCAAGGGGGUCAUCCCGACUUACCAACCCGAUGCAAACUGCGAAUACCGGAGAAUGUUAUCACGGGAGACACACGGCGGGUGCUAACGUCCGUCGUGAAGAGGGAAACAACCCAGACCGCCAGCUAAGGUCCCAAAGUCAUGGUUAAGUGGGAAACGAUGUGGGAAGGCCCAGACAGCCAGGAUGUUGGCUUAGAAGCAGCCAUCAUUUAAAGAAAGCGUAAUAGCUCACUGGUCGAGUCGGCCUGCGCGGAAGAUGUAACGGGGCUAAACCAUGCACCGAAGCUACGGCAGCGACGCUGAUGCGUUGUUGGGUAGGGGAGCGUUCUGUAAGCCUGCGAAGGUGUGCUGUGAGGCAUGCUGGAGGUAUCAGAAGUGCGAAUGCUGACAUAAGUAACGAUAAAGCGGGUGAAAAGCCCGCUCGCCGGAAGACCAAGGGUUCCUGUCCAACGUUAAUCGGGGCAGGGUGAGUCGACCCCUAAGGCGAGGCCGAAAGGCGUAGUCGAUGGGAAACAGGUUAAUAUUCCUGUACUUGGUGUUACUGCGAAGGGGGGACGGAGAAGGCUAUGUUGGCCGGGCGACGGUUGUCCCGGUUUAAGCGUGUAGGCUGGUUUUCCAGGCAAAUCCGGAAAAUCAAGGCUGAGGCGUGAUGACGAGGCACUACGGUGCUGAAGCAACAAAUGCCCUGCUUCCAGGAAAAGCCUCUAAGCAUCAGGUAACAUCAAAUCGUACCCCAAACCGACACAGGUGGUCAGGUAGAGAAUACCAAGGCGCUUGAGAGAACUCGGGUGAAGGAACUAGGCAAAAUGGUGCCGUAACUUCGGGAGAAGGCACGCUGAUAUGUAGGUGAAGUCCCUCGCGGAUGGAGCUGAAAUCAGUCGAAGAUACCAGCUGGCUGCAACUGUUUAUUAAAAACACAGCACUGUGCAAACACGAAAGUGGACGUAUACGGUGUGACGCCUGCCCGGUGCCGGAAGGUUAAUUGAUGGGGUCAGCGCAAGCGAAGCUCUUGAUCGAAGCCCCGGUAAACGGCGGCCGUAACUAUAACGGUCCUAAGGUAGCGAAAUUCCUUGUCGGGUAAGUUCCGACCUGCACGAAUGGCGUAAUGAUGGCCAGGCUGUCUCCACCGAGACUCAGUGAAAUUGAACUCGCUGUGAAGAUGCAGUGUACCCGCGGCAAGACGGAAAGACCCCGUGAACCUUUACUAUAGCUUGACACUGAACAUUGAGCCUUGAUGUGUAGGAUAGGUGGGAGGCUUUGAAGUGUGGACGCCAGUCUGCAUGGAGCCGGCCUUGAAAUACCACCCUUUAAUGUUUGAUGUUCUAACGUUGACCCGUAAUCCGGGUUGCGGACAGUGUCUGGUGGGUAGUUUGACUGGGGCGGUCUCCUCCUAAAGAGUAACGGAGGAGCACGAAGGUUGGCUAAUCCUGGUCGGACAUCAGGAGGUUAGUGCAAUGGCAUAAGCCAGCUUGACUGCGAGCGUGACGGCGCGAGCAGGUGCGAAAGCAGGUCAUAGUGAUCCGGUGGUUCUGAAUGGAAGGGCCAUCGCUCAACGGAUAAAAGGUACUCCGGGGAUAACAGGCUGAUACCGCCCAAGAGUUCAUAUCGACGGCGGUGUUUGGCACCUCGAUGUCGGCUCAUCACAUCCUGGGGCUGAAGUAGGUCCCAAGGGUAUGGCUGUUCGCCAUUUAAAGUGGUACGCGAGCUGGGUUUAGAACGUCGUGAGACAGUUCGGUCCCUAUCUGCCGUGGGCGCUGGAGAACUGAGGGGGGCUGCUCCUAGUACGAGAGGACCGGAGUGGACGCAUCACUGGUGUUCGGGUUGUCAUGCCAAUGGCACUGCCCGGUAGCUAAAUGCGGAAGAGAUAAGUGCUGAAAGCAUCUAAGCACGAAACUUGCCCCGAGAUGAGUUCUCCCUGACUCCUUGAGAGUCCUGAAGGAACGUUGAAGACGACGACGUUGAUAGGCCGGGUGUGUAAGCGCAGCGAUGCGUUGAGCUAACCGGUACUAAUGAACCGUGAGGCUUAACCUU
rnacentral:rRNA from 1 species